rnacentral:tRNA from 1 species
GCCUGAGUGGCGAAAUUGGUAGACGCAGUUGAUUCAAAAUCAACCGCCUUCGGGUGUGCCGGUUCGAGUCCGGCCUUAGGCACCA